rnacentral:rRNA from 1 species
UACGGAGGGUGCAAGCGUUAUCCGGAUUCACUGGGUUUAAAGGGUGCGUAGGAGGGCAGGUAAGUCAGUGGUGAAAUCUCCAAGCUUAACUUGGAAACUGCCGUUGAUACUAUCUGUCUUGAAUAUUGUGGAGGUGAGCGGAAUAUGUCAUGUAGCGGUGAAAUGCUUAGAUAUGACAUAGAACACCAAUUGCGAAGGCAGCUCACUACACAAUCAUUGACUCUGAGGCA